rnacentral:rRNA from 1 species
AUUGAACGCUGGCGGCAGGCCUAACACAUGCAAGUCGAGCGGAGCGGCGGACGGGGGGGUAAUGCCUAGGAAUCGGCCUGGUAGUGGGGGAUAACGUCCGGAAACGGGCGAUAAUACCGCAUACUAUCAGACGAGCCUAGGUGGGAUGAGCUAGUUGGUGGGGUAAAUGCCUACCAAGGUGACGAUCCGUACCUGGUCUGAGAGGAGGAUCAGUCACACUGGAACUGAGACACGGACCAGACUCCUACGGGAGGCAGCAGUGGGGAAUAUUGGACAAUGGGCGAAAGCCUGAUCCAGCCAUGCCGCGUGUGUGAAGAAGGUCUUCGGAUUGUAAAGCACUUUAAGUUGGGAGGCGUUACCAACAGAAGAAGCACCGGCUAACUUCGUGCCAGCAGCCGCGGUAAUUC